rnacentral:rRNA from 1 species
AAUGGCCUGACGGCUGAACCAGCAACUUGGAGGAAUGUAUAGCGAUAGCUAAUUGUAUCAAUAAAGAAAAAUUGGUACAACAUCGACUCUGUCGAAUAAAAUUCUGAGUAGAACUAUGAUGAUGACAUUAUCUACUUAUAUGUCUUGACCAAAUUACGUGCCAGCAGUCGCGGUAAUACGUAGAAGACUAGUGUUAUUCAUCUUUAAUAGGUUUAAAGGGUACCUAGACGGCAAGUUAAGCCUAAGCAGGGACUGGCUUGCUAGAGUUACUUACGAGGGGGCAUUAAUGUACUAAUGGUGUAGAGAUGAAAUUCUGUGAUACCUUUUUUCGAAGGAAAAGUAAUGGCACAGGUAUAGGCGAAGGCAUCUCCUUAUGUGAUAACUGACGUUGAGGGACGAAGGCUUUGUGUAGCGAACAGGAUUAGAUACCCUGGUAGUCGAAGCAGAAAAUGAUGAGUGUCAUAGAUUAGGCAAUUGUUUAUUCUAUAAAUGAAAGUGUAAGCACUCCACCUCAAGAGUAAUUUGGCAACAUUGGAACUGAAAUCAUUAGACCGUUUCUGAAACCAGUAGUGAAGUAUGUUGUUUAAUUUGAUAAUCCGCAAAAAACCUUACCACAACUUGAAUAUUCAUAUAUUAUGGAUACAAGCGUUGCACGGCUGUCUUCAGUUAAUGUCGUGAGACUAUGGUUAGCUCCAUUAAAUUAACGUAAACCCUUACUUUAUUUUCAUAUAAAGUAGUUCUCCGCUAUAUUGGAUAAGAUAACAGGGACUAAGACAAGUCAUCAUGGCCUGAAUGUUGUGGGCUAUAGACGUGCCACGUGAGCCUUUACAAAAGGAUGUGAAAUUGCGAAAUUGAGCUAAUCCCCUAAAACUGGCUAUACAUUUACAAU